UUGCACGCUGGCGGCAGGCCUAACACCUGCAAGUCGAGCGGAUGAAGGGAGCUUGCUCCUGGAUUCAGCGGCGGACGGGUGAGUAAUGCCUAGGAAUCUGCCUGGUAGUGGGGGAUAACGUCCGGAAACGGGCGCUAAUACCGCAUACGUCCUGAGGGAGAAAGUGGGGGAUCUUCGGACCUCACGCUAUCAGAUGAGCCUAGGUCGGAUUAGCUAGUUGGUGGGGUAAAGGCCUACCAAGGCGACGAUCCGUAACUGGUCUGAGAGGAUGAUCAGUCACACUGGGAAGAGAGCACGGGCCCAAACCCGUAGGGGGGGAACAGGGGGGGAAUAUUGAGCAAGGGGGCAAGGCCUAACCCGGCACAGCGGGGGGGGGAAAGAGGUCGUUCGGAUUGUAAAGCAAUUUAGGUUGGAGGGAAGGACAGUAAUUUAAUACCUUGCUUUUUUGACGUUACCAACAGAAUAAGCACCGGCUAACUUCGU
rnacentral:rRNA from 1 species